UUAGGAAUUUUGGGCAAUGGGCGCAAGCCUGAUCCAGCCAUGCCGCGUGAGUGAUGAAGGCCUUAGGGUUGUAAAGCUCUUUCACCGAUGAAGAUAAUGACGGUAGUCGGAGAAGAAGCCCCGGCUAACUUCGUGCCAGCAGCCGCGGUAAUACGAAGGGGGCUAGCGUUGUUCGGAUUUACUGGGCGUAAAGCGCACGUAGGCGGAUCGUUAAGUCGGGGGUGAAAUCCUGGAGCUCAACUCCAGAACUGCCUUCGAUACUGGCGAUCUUGAGUCCGGAAGAGGUGAGUGGAACUCCUAGUGUAGAGGUGGAAUUCGUAGAUAUUAGGAAGAACACCAGUGGCGAAGGCGGCUCACUGGUCCGGUACUGACGCUGAGGUGCGAAAGCGUGGGGAGCAAAC
rnacentral:rRNA from 1 species